rnacentral:rRNA from 1 species
UGGGGAAUAUUGGACAAUGGGGGGAACCCUGAUCCAGCGAUGCCGCGUGUGUGAAGAAGGCCUGAGGGUUGUAAAGCACUUUCAGUGGGGAGGAGUGUUUAUUGGUUAAGAGCUGAUGAACUGGACGUUACCCACAGAAGAAGCACCGGCUAACUCCGUGCCAGCAGCCGCGGUAAUACGGAGGGUGCGAGCGUUAAUCGGAAUUACUGGGCGUAAAGGGUGCGUAGGUGGUACAGCAAGUCACAUGUAGAAGCCCUGGGCUCAACCUGGGAAUGUCGUGUGAUACUGUUGAACUGGAGUACGGGAGAGGGCAGUGGAAUUUCCGGUGUAGCGGUGAAAUGCGUAGAUAUCGGAAGGAACACCGGUGGCGAAGGCGGCUGCCUGGCCUGAUACUGACACU